rnacentral:rRNA from 1 species
AUUGAACGCUGGCGGCAGGCCUAACACAUGCAAGUCGAGCGGAGCGGCGGACGGGUGAGUGAGGCCUAGGAAUCUGCCUGGUCGCGUGGGAUAACGUCAGGAAACGGACGCUAAUACCGCAUCCUAUCAGAUGCGCCUAGGUCGGAUUAGCUAGUUGGUGGGGUAAAGGCCUACCAAGGCGACGAUCCGUAACUGGUCUGAGAGGAUGAUCAGUCACACUGGAACUGAGACACGGUCCAGACUCCUACGGGAGGAAGCAGUGGGGAAUAUUGGACAAUGGGCGAAAUCCUGAUCCAGCCAUGCCGCGUGUGUGAAGAAGGUCUUCGGAUUGUAAAGCACUUUAAGUUGGGAGGCGUUACCAACAGAAUAAGCACCGGCUAACUUCGUGCCAGCAGCCGCGGUAAUAC